rnacentral:rRNA from 1 species
GAACGCUGGCGGCGUGCCUAAUACAUGCAAGUAGAACGCUGAAGAGAGGAGCUUGCUCUUCUUGGAUGAGUUGCGAACGGGUGAGUAACGCGUAGGUAACCUGCCUUGUAGCGGGGGAUAACUAUUGGAAACGAUAGCUAAUACCGCAUAACAAUGGAUGACACAUGUCAUUUAUUUGAAAGGGGCAAAUGCUCCACUACAAGAUGGACCUGCGUUGUAUUAGCUAGUAGGUGAGGUAACGGCUCACCUAGGCGACGAUACAUAGCCGACCUGAGAGGGUGAUCGGCCACACUGGGACUGAGACACGGCCCAGACUCCUACGGGAGGCAGCAGUAGGGAAUCUUCGGCAAUGGGGGCAACCCUGACCGAGCAACGCCGCGUGAGUGAAGAAGGUUUUCGGAUCGUAAAGCUCUGUUGUAAGUCAAGAACGAGUGUGAGAGUGGAAAGUUCACACUGUGACGGUAGCUUACCAGAAAGGGACGGCUAACUACGUGCCAGCAGCCGCGGUAAUACGUAGGUCCCGAGCGUUGUCCGGAUUUAUUGGGCGUAAAGCGAGCGCAGGCGGUUUGAUAAGUCUGAAGUUAAAGGCUGUGGCUCAACCAUAGUUCGCUUUGGAAACUGUCAAACUUGAGUGCAGAAGGGGAGAGUGGAAUUCCAUGUGUAGCGGUGAAAUGCGUAGAUAUAUGGAGGAACACCGGUGGCGAAAGCGGCUCUCUGGUCUGUAACUGACGCUGAGGCUCGAAAGCGUGGGGAGCGAACAGGAUUAGAUACCCUGGUAGUCCACGCCGUAAACGAUGAGUGCUAGGUGUUGGAUCCUUUCCGGGAUUCAGUGCCGCAGCUAACGCAUUAAGCACUCCGCCUGGGGAGUACGACCGCAAGGUUGAGACUCAAAGGAAUUGACGGGGGCCCGCACAAGCGGUGGAGCAUGUGGUUUAAUUCGAAGCAACGCGAAGAACCUUACCAGGUCUUGACAUCCCGAUGCUAUUUCUAGAGAUAGAAAGUUACUUCGGUACAUCGGUGACAGGUGGUGCAUGGUUGUCGUCAGCUCGUGUCGUGAGAUGUUGGGUUAAGUCCCGCAACGAGCGCAACCCCUAUUGUUAGUUGCCAUCAUUCAGUUGGGCACUCUAGCGAGACUGCCGGUAAUAAACCGGAGGAAGGUGGGGAUGACGUCAAAUCAUCAUGCCCCUUAUGACCUGGGCUACACACGUGCUACAAUGGUUGGUACAACGAGUUGCGAGUCGGUGACGGCAAGCUAAUCUCUUAAAGCCAACCUCAGUUCGGAUUGUAGGCUGCAACUCGCCUACAUGAAGUCGGAAUCGCUAGUAAUCGCGGAUCAGCACGCCGCGGUGAAUACGUUCCCGGGCCUUGUACACACCGCCCGUCACACCACGAGAGUUUGUAACACCCGAAGUCGGUGAGGUAACCUUUUGGAGCCAGCCGCCUAAGGUGGGAUAGAUGAUUGGGGUGAA